ACGGGAGGCAGCAGUCGGGAAUAUUGCGCAAUGGAGGAAACUCUGACGCAGUGACGCCGCGUAUAGGAUGAAGGUUUUCGGAUUGUAAACUAUUGUCGUUAGGGAAGAUAAAAGACAGUACCUAAGGAGGAAGCUCCGGCUAACUACGUGCCAGCAGCCGCGGUAAUACGUAGGGAGCAAGCGUUAUCCGGAAUUACUGGGUGUAAAGGGAGUGUAGGCGGGACUGUAAGUCAGAUGUGAAAUAUGCCGGCUCAACUGGCAGACUGCAUUUGAAACUGCGGUUCUUGAGUGAAGUAGAGGUAAGCGGAAUUCCUAGUGUAGCGGUGAAAUGCGUAGAUAUUAGGAGGAACAUCAGUGGCGAAGGCGGCUUACUGGGCUUUAACUGACGCUGAGGCUCGAAAGCGUGGGGAGCAAACAGGAUUAGAUACCCUGGUA
rnacentral:rRNA from 1 species